CGGUGGGUAGGACCGGGGAGCUAGCCCUUCCCUACUCCUCAAACGGGCUAUAUGGAGGGGUCAGUAACCCGAGACGAGCGGGUGAUGUGGGGUAUAAGCCGCGGACCUGCUCCGAUGAGGGACCGCCCCGCGGGGCUGGCGGUUGCCCAACACCCUCUCGUAGGGGAGGGGUUCGAGGCAUCUGCCGGGUGAACCUGGCCAGGCCCGGGAGGGAGCAACCUAAGCCCGGACGUUCAGCGCUCGCGGGUCCCGGGAAGGAGGAGGGGUCCGCGAAACUGUACUCCACUUAGCCCGCGGAUCGAGGGGGCCACCG
rnacentral:SRP_RNA from 1 species